CAGUUGGAGUUGGUGUUGCUUACUAUUGUUUGAGACCUAUUAUAGAGGCUAUGACCUUUAUCUUCUCAAUGCAGGCAAUAGACACAUCAUCAAUUCUACUGCAAAAUCAAAUUAUGUCUGAUGGCUAGAUAAAUGUACCCAUUAUUUGGAAGAGGACCAAAUGGUGCUGUUGCUGGUGUUGGUGCCCAGCAUUCUCAAGUACUGUUCCGCACGCCUUUUCUUUUUAAGUCUCUUUACUACUUUAUUACAUUACCAUAUUUUAUAUGUUACCUUCUGUUUGUUUCUGAUCUAUCAUUUACCCACAUCCACAGCAUAUUUAGCCUUCAUUUAUAAGUGAGUUGCGAAUGAAUUUGGACCACUUUUAUGA